rnacentral:tRNA from 1 species
AAGGGAGACCUAAUUCGGGUAUAAGACGAAAAAAGAGUAGUCGAAACCAAGAAUCAAUCCCAAAAGGUCGGAACGAGGUAUGUGGCUUUCAAACUAGGUUCUGGGUUCACACAAGACCUGAAUCAGGAACAAGGGCUAUUAGCUCAGGUGGUUAGAGCGCACCCCUGAUAAGGGUGAGGUCCCUGGUUCGAGUCCAGGAUGGCCCACCUGCACAGGUGGCAAAAACAAAGAAGCGAGGAAUCAGCACCUUAUCUUAUCUAUAUAUAAGAGAGAAUGCUGGCUCUGAGUAAAGAGUCCAGGGGAACCUUGAAAACUGCAUAGAGCUAGGUGAAAAAGCCAAAAAAGAAGACCGCAA